rnacentral:rRNA from 1 species
GGCUACGGCCAUAUCACGAUGCAUGCACCUCAUCCCGUCCGAUUUGAGAAGUUAAGCAUCGUCGAGCCACAUCAGUACUGAGGUUGGAGACAACUUGGGAACCUGUGGUGCUGUAGUCU